CAUGAGCUCGAGCUCGUUCAUUGGACGCCGUCUAUGUUCAGCUGUUAGCUUGUUUUGUAGCCACUGAGCUUCCGAAAGAAGGUUACAUAUGUUUAACGUACGUGUCUUCGUUAUUGAAUUAACAUGACGGGCCGUUGCAUCAGUCGGCUGUAAACGUAAUUGUUUGUCAAAAGGGUUGCUCGGUUGAUGCUCAGUGUGAACGACAUGGCAGCUGCAUAGUUAGCCUGCUAGCUUGGAAAGUUCCCAGAGAGGCGUCAUGUACAGUAUGUAAAAGUGACCUUGUAAACUCGCUAUUAUUUCUAUCUGCGUUGUUUCUGCUGGAGCUAUGGCGUCCACGCGACUGUGUUAUGUCCUCAGCGCCAAGGCUGCAGGUUCCUUCAAAGCAUUAUCUGGGUGCAGAGUUUGCCUGAGAAGAAGCUUCAGCAGCUCCUCUCCUCUGAGGCAGACCUGCAUGUCCGCCUGGGUCAUCGACCAGUACGGUUCUCAGGGAGUGUUGAGGUACUCUGAGGACACCUGCAUCCCCAGCAUCCGCUCUCCUAGUGACGUGAUGAUCAAAGUCCAUGCUGCCAGUCUCAACCCCAUUGACAUUGCUAUGAGGGGUGGUUAUGGAGCCAAGUUGCUGAAAUUCCGCCGGGAUCCAUUUUCGGUAAUGGACAACGGUGAUGAAUUUCCUCUGAUCCUGGGUCGGGAUGUGUCAGGUGUGGUGGUGGACUGUGGAGCAGAUGUUACCCACUUUGAACCUGGAGAUGAGGUGUGGGCUGCUGCACCACCAUGGAAACAAGGCACUCUUUCAGAAUUUGUGACUCUGACCGAGUAUGAGGUUUCGCAAAAGCCAAAAUCCCUGAGUCACAUUGAGGCAGCGUCCAUCCCAUAUGUGGCCGGCACGGUUCUCUCAGCAUUGGUCAAUGCUGGAGGUCUGUGUCCGGACACCGCAGCAAACAAAAGAAUUCUGAUCAUCGGAGGAUCCGGAGGCAUAGGAACAUUUGCCAUUCAGUUAGCGAAGGCCUGGGGCGCCCACGUUACUGUGACGUGCUCCCAGAAUGCUGAGGGUCUUGUCCGAGGACUGGGAGCCGACGAGGUGGUGGACUACACAGCUGGAGAUGUUGCUGAAGUGCUGGAGGAAAUGGAGAAGUUUGACGUGAUCCUGGACGGCGUCGGGGAGGACACAGAAGAGUGGGCGAAAGGCCGCCUCAGGUCCUGGUCCGGAUCCAAGUACGUCACGCUGGUGACUCCUUUACUGCAGAACACAGACUCUCAGGGUCUGUUGGAUGGAAUCGUGCGAGCUGGCUGCAGCCUGCAGACCAAAGCUGUUCAGAGCAUUCUGUCAGACGGGGUCUUUUACCGGUGGGGGUUCUACGCUCCUGAUGGGCCGGGGCUGGAUGAGGUCUGCAGGCUGGUGGAUGCUGGGAAGAUCCUGCCGGUGGUGGAGGCCCAGUUCCCGUUCUCUCAGGUGCCACAGGCCUUCCACAAGCUGGAGCAGGGACACGCCCGCGGGAAGACGGUGGUGCGGGUGGCUGAGGAAGACCACAGGGUGGAGGAAGAGCUGGCACAGGAUGUGGAGGCUGUAGGGCGAACCCACGAGCAUGGCACGGCUGAGACCAGCUACUGAGAGGAGGUUCUUCUUCUGAGGCCAGGCUACUCUUGACCUGAGACAUUUCAAUCUCUAAUGAAAAAAAGAGAAGCCACACAGAAGAAGAAGAAGCAGGAGCUCUUUUCUGAGUCUCAGAUAGAUGACGUCUCUCAGGUGAUGUUUCACAUGCUUCUCAUGCCGAUGGUGUGUUUUUUUUCUAAGAGGGGAUAAAAGAAUGUCUCCCUUCAAGACUGUCUGACUCGAGCAGACCUUCAGGGCUUUAGGCUCAGAGGUGCUCUUUGAUGCUAUACUUCAUAUAUGAUUGUAUUGAGGUGCUGGAGCUCAGAGUGGGGCCACAUUUAAAAUCAACAGUAGAGACUGACCUUUGACCUCUAGGACCAGGUCCGCUGACGACGUGUAGCGGAUAAAUCCGUCUGGCGUGAUGCUCCACAGAUGCGUUUGGUGCUCUGAACCCGGCGCCAGCCCUAUCCGGCUACCCGCGAUGGUGACGCUCCCACUGGGACACAAGCAGCACUCCUCCAGCAGCUGGAACACCCCAGGAAGAUUUAUAAACAACGGGCCUGAUGACGUGUCAAAGCGACAGCUCAUAAGUAGAAGUUAGGGAGGUCAGAUGAGGAGAGUAGAAAAAGUAUUGUCCUGAGAAUGUUGGAGAGAGACCCAGUGGAAGAUGACCUUGCAGUGCAGAUGUCCCCUCUGAUAGGACCAGAGCUGCUCAAUACCACACGUCUCCUCCAUCUCCUGGAUCCGCAGCAGCUUGAUCUCGUCCAGGUCCCCGGUCACAGACAUCAUGAGCCCAGUGUGGCGGUUCCGCAGACGGAAAUGGACCUGCUUCUGCUCAGAUGUCAACAAAUCAAACCUUGGCUGUCAACACACAACUCACCUGCCUGAAAGGACCUUACAUGAGGCCACACAGAAGCCUUCCUGCAGCGACGCCAAGUUGUCCUCCACCACGAGGACGGUACCUUGGAAACCCGGCAGAGAAAAUAGCUGCACCUGAGGACAACACACACUCUUCCACUCUAGUUUUGGUGCUGCUAUGUCAUCGUCCGGAUUUAGGGUCUUGGUCUGAUUCCAGUGAGAGCUCCACCCAUCCUUACAUCUUUAUGUUACCAAGUGUACUUCUGACAGUUUGAUGUACCAGUACAUGUCAAAGAAUGGGUCGCAGUGCCAGGAGUGGCUCAGACCCACCCCAGUCCGAUGGGUCCAGAUACUCUCCUUCCUCUAGGAUGAACUGCUGACCCUCAAACCCGGGCUCACUGUAGCCCACCCACCUGCAGACAAAAGUUUGUUAAAGCAGCUGGCAUCAGAGCAUCCGAGUCGCCUUCACAGAAGCUGAAAACUUCGCUGUCGAGUUCCUGAGCGGAUCCCUCGAACCUCGGAGAGUCGAAGACGACGGCCUGGAUGAGGCCGCAGAGACCCGACGAAAGGCGAUGAGAACCCCCAGGUCUCUGGAAAAGGGUACACUCCUUCCUCCAGGACGGCCAUUGCACCCUGCAAGCCCGGAUCACUGAAGACCAUCCACCUGAGGAGUGGCAGAAGCAUAAGCUCCGCCCACUCAUUGGGCAGCUCGAUGGCGCCCUCCUCCAGGGGGAUGCAGCGACCUUGGAAGCCUGGCUUCUCGUAGAGGACCCAACUGUGGAGGAAACCAACGUGCGUGAUUCAAACCGGUGCUGUUUAAAACUUGGAGGUGCUGAUCCUCAUCCCAGCAUUUUCACACCAGAUUCGCCAGAGAGGAGGAGCCCCCGGGGCAGAUCCACGAGAUCAUGCCUGUCAGGUGACACCUCAGAGGAAAAGUCUCUUCACUUCAGCUGUGAGCCAACAGUGAAAUACUGUUUUGUAAAAAUUUGAAGCUCUCCUUAGCUCCGUUUUCCGCUGACUUCAAUGGAGUCUUCGAUUCUGGCGGCUCAUUGUUCUCCAAUAGAGGCUGCUCCGCACUCAAAGGCACAUAUUUGGUAAACAGCUUGACCUCACUUCGAGACACUUUCAGACUCCUGCGUUUGGACUCCGGCGUCUCUGUCUUCCUCUCCACUUUGUAGUCAGUGUCAUCGUCCUCCAUGGCUGCACAUGCCUGUGUCACUGCGCCUUGGCUCUGGAUGUUAUCCAAAUACCUAGGCUUAUCAGAACAGGAAGUCAUUGUCUUCCCUCCUCCAGGUGAGGCCUGAGAGGUGGAGGAGGGGUCUUGCCCGGAGGUGGAGUUUGCAGGCUCAUUCACGUCAUGGCAGCUU